AACGCGAAGAACCUUACCAGGUCUUGACAUCUCCUGACCGCCCUGGAGACAGGGUCUUCCCUUCGGGGACAGGAUGACAGGUGGUGCAUGGUUGUCGUCAGCUCGUGUCGUGAGAUGUUGGGUUAAGUCCCGCAACGAGCGCAACCCUUGGUUCUAGUUGCCAGCAUUCAGUUGGGCACUCUAGAGCGACUGCCGGCGACAAGUCGGAGGAAGGUGGGGAUGACGUCAAAUCAUCAUGCCCCUUAUGACCUGGGCUACACACGUGCUACAAUGGAUGGUACAAAGGGUUGCGAAGCCGCGAGGCAGAGCUAAUCCCAGAAAACCAUUCUCAGUUCGGAUUGCAGGCUGCAACUCGCCUGCAUGAAGCCGGAAUCGCUAGUAAUCGCGAUCAGCAUGC
rnacentral:rRNA from 1 species